UACAGAGGGUGCGAGCGUUGUUCGGAAUUACUGGGCGUAAAGCGCGCGCAGGCGGAUCCUGCAAGUCCGGAGUGAAAUCUCGCCGCUCAACGGUGAGGCUGCUUUGGAUACUGCGGAUCUGGAGACCGGUAGAGGCUGGUAGAAUUGCAGGUGUAGCGGUGGAAUGCGUAGAGAUCUGCAAGAAUACCCGUGGCGAAGGCGGCCAGCUGGGCCGGUUCUGACGCUGAGGCGCGAAAGCCAGGGGAGCAAACGGG
rnacentral:rRNA from 1 species